ACAAAAGGAAGGUUGGGAUUGAUUUUGGGAGUUUUGAUCCCAACAUUUUAGGAAUUAGGGGCCAAAAAGGGCCCAAAUAAGCAUUUUCUUGUUUUCGCACGUAACUUUAGUUAAGUAAAUAGAAAUCUAUGAAAUUUUGACACAAGGUUUAUGACCACAAAAGGAAGGUUGGGAUUGAUUUUGGGAGUUUUGGUUCUAACAGUUUAGGAAUUAGGGGCCAAAAAAGGGUCAAAAUAAGCAUUAUUCUUGGUUUUUGCACAAUAACUUUAGUUUAAGUAAAUAGAAAUCUAUGAAAUUUAAACACAAGGUUUAUGACCACAAAAGGAAGGUUGGUAUUGAUUUGGGGAGUUGAGAUCCCAACAGUUUAGGAAUUUGGGGCCAAAAAGGG
rnacentral:lncRNA from 1 species